rnacentral:lncRNA from 1 species
UUUUCACGAAGUGACGGAUAAGAGGAAAAUUGUCACUUUUUUCAAUUUUGAGUUUUUUGCAUUUUUGGACAUCUAUGACUUAUAUCUUGAACCUCAAAAAGUUUCAGAUCACAAUAAUGUCUAAUUACGUUGCUAUGACGACAUGACAUUCAAUAAAAUACCGGGUAAAAUGAUUUCUUGUUUUCACGAAGUGACGGAUAAGCAGCCGUCAUUACGUGAAAACAAACGAAUACGCUUUGCACUCAAGAGUUUUUUCACGAAGUGACGGAAGGCAAAUAUUUACAGUUUGGAACAGCCGAAGACCAUGAAAUGAUGCAGUAUAUACAAUAAGUGAUGUUUCAGAGAACAAAUGAGAGAAGUCCUGGAACUGGUACACUUGUUGCUGAUGGUCAGAUACAAUUCCAGGUUAGAUCCAGGGGCCGACACGCUUGUCAGAUGUGUCAUUGAUGAUUCCCUGAACAUCACAGAU